AAUCCGUGAUGAGGACACUUGAGUAACAACUCCUUGAAUCGCUCCCAUGUCUCAUAGAAAGACUCUCCCUCCUUUUGGUGAAACUCUUGAAUCAUGCUCCUCAGAGAGC
rnacentral:snoRNA from 1 species